rnacentral:rRNA from 1 species
CCCUUAGAUGUUCUGGGCCGCACGCGCGCUACACUGAUGAAUGCAACGAGCUCUACCCUUGACCGAAAGGCCCGGGUAAACUUGUGAAACUUCAUCGUGAUGGGGAUAGAUUAUUGCAAUUAUUAAUCUUCAACGAGGAAUUCCUAGUAAGCGCGAGUCAUCAGCUCGCGUUGAUUACGUCCCUGCCCUUUGUACACACCGCCCGUCGCUCCUACCGAUUGAAUGUGUUGGUGAGGAGCUCGGAUUGGCAGCAGUUGGUGGUUCGCCACCGGCUAUUGCUGAGAAGUCCUCCAAACCGCCCCAUUUAGAGGAAGGAGAAGUCGUAACA